AUUGAACGCUGGCGGCAGGCCUAACACAUGCAAGUCGAGCGGAUGAGAGGAGCUUGCUUCUCGAUUCAGCGGCGGACGGGUGAGUAAUGCCUAGGAAUCUGCCUGGUAGUGGGGGACAACGUUUCGAAAGGAACGCUAAUACCGCAUACGUCCUACGGGAGAAAGCAGGGGACCUUCGGGCCUUGCGCUAUCAGAUGAGCCUAGGUCGGAUUAGCUAGUUGGUGAGGUAAUGGCUCACCAAGGCGACGAUCCGUAACUGGUCUGAGAGGAUGAUCAGUCACACUGGAACUAAGACACGGUCCAGACUCCUACGGGAGGCAGCAGUGGGGAAUAUUGGACAAUGGGCGAAAGCCUGAUCCAGCCAUGCCGCGUGUGUGAAGAAGGUCUUCGGAUUGUAAAGCACUUUAAGUUGGGAGGAAGGGUUGUAGAUUAAUACUCUGCAAUUUUGACGUUACCGACAGAAUAAGCACCGGCUACUCUGUGCCAGCCGCCGCCGUAAUAC
rnacentral:rRNA from 1 species